AUAGUUCAGAAGGCAUUAGAAGGCAUAGAGUAAAAAGUGAAUAAGAAUGGUCUUCUUACAUAAUGCAGGGAUGGAAGAAGAUACUUGGAAAAAUCAGGGAAGAGUGAAGAAGAUACUUCAAAAAAUCGGGGAAGAUUUUCAUCAUAAGGUCCAAGCAAAGGCAUGAGUAUAAGAUGUGUGUAUGUGAUACAUAAGAUUUACUUCUAAACAAUUUAAGAGGAUAAGGGAUAAAAAUCACCAUUCAGUUUCUAAGUGAAUACAAUAUAAAUAAUAUUGAUGAUGAGCAAAGGAAAAUACAAAAUAAAUUAAAAGUCAUGAGAAGAUAAAGAAACUGGAUCAAAAUGAGAGUUCAACAAAGGGAGCAAUAAGAAAACUAAAUAGGAAAAAAGUAAUAAAUAUAAUCUCAAACUACA
rnacentral:lncRNA from 10 species